AAUGCAUGUUGCUUCCUGACACUUCGUAGAAUCUUUGGAAAUGACACAUUCCGUGCAUAGUAAACAGCUUCACUUCUCAUCAGCAGGCAGGCUAAUAACUAUUGACUACUAUUGAUACUUCCAGAUUGAACCUGUAACCUGCUUGUAGAUGAGAUGCUCGGAUCAAAGCAUUAAUCUUGCAUGGAGCAUCGUAAGCCGAGCAUCCAACAGUCACACCAUCAUCUCGCUUGCUGACAUCACCGCUGCCUGAUCUGCUAUUGGGCAAAACCACUGACAGCACAUCCUAAGG